UACGUAGGGACCAAGCGUUGUCCGGAAUCAUUGGGCGUAAAGAGCGUGUAGGCGGCUUGUCGCGUCGUCCGUGAAAACCCGGGGCUCAACCCCGGGCUUGCGGUCGAUACGGGCAGGCUAGAGUUCGGUAGGGGAGACUGGAAUUCCUGGUGUAGCGGUGAAAUGCGCAGAUAUCAGGAGGAACACCGGUGGCGAAGGCGGGUCUCUGGGCCGAUACUGACGCUGAGGAGCGAAAGCGUGGGGAGCGAACAGG
rnacentral:rRNA from 1 species